UACAGAGGGGGCAAGCGUUGUUCGGAAUUAUUGGGCGUAAAGCGCGCGCAGGUGGUUUCUUAAGUCUGAUGUGAAAGCCCACGGCUCAACCGUGGAGGGUCAUUGGAAACUGGGAGACUUGAGUACAGAAGAGGAAAGUGGAAUUCCAUGUGUAGCGGUGAAAUGCGUAGAGAUAUGGAGGAACACCAGUGGCGAAGGCGACUUUCUGGUCUGUAACUGACACUGAGGCGCGAAAGCGUGGGGAGCAAACAGG
rnacentral:rRNA from 1 species